rnacentral:lncRNA from 1 species
ACCAGCAGUUGAAGAAAAACAUGAAGAACCAACUGUUGAAGAGAAACCUAGAGAACUAGCGGUUACGGAGAAACAUGAAGAACCAGCGAUUGAGGAAAAACCUGAAAAACCAGCUGUGGAAGAAAAACUUGAAGAACCAGAGGUCGAGGAGAAACAUGAAAAACCAGCAGCUGAAGAGAAACCUAAAGAACUAGUAGUUGAAGAAAAAGCUGAAGAACCAACACGGGAAGAAACACCGGAAGAACUAGAAUUUGAAGAGAAACCUGAAGAACCAACUGUUGAAGAAACACCUGAACAAUUAGCAGUUGAAGAGAAAUCUGAAAAACCAGUGGUUAAAGAGGAGAAAUCUGAAAAGGUAACUCUCUUGGAAAAGGUGAGGAUCAAGCACUAUCACAAAGUUUAUCCAUCCUAUUAGUUUUGUACGUGCAAAGAUUCAUAUCUACUUAUCUAUUGAAAGAUUAAGUGAAACUUUAAAUUCUUCUUGCAGAAUAUGUCAGUUGUAGAUUUCAAUGACAAGACUAACAGUGAAAUUCCAUGCAAUACCAACAAUGAUGUUGCCGACUAUGUAUCAGUUGAGGCAAACCUUGAAGAACCAGUAGUUGAAGAAAAACCUGAAGAACCAACGGUUGAGAAGAAACCUGAAGAACCAGCUGUUGAAGAGAAAUCUGAAAAACCAUCAAUUGAGGAGAAACGUGAAGCACCAGCAUUUGAGAAGAAACCUGAAGAACCAACAAUUGAGGAGAAACAUGAAGAACAAACAAUUGAAGAGGAGAAACCUGAAAGGGUAACUCUCCUGGAAAAGGUGAGGAUCAAGCAUUGUCACAAAGUUUAUCCAUCUUAUUAGUUGUGUAUACGAUACGAUUUACAUAUGCUUACCUACUGAAAGACUAAGUAAGACUUUAAAGUUCUUUUCUUGCAGAGUAUGCCAGUUGUAGUCUCGAACGACAAAACUGACAGUAAAAUUCCAAGCAUUACCAACAAUAAUGAUGCUCGCUUUUCAGAAGUUGAGGAAAACCCUGAAGAACCUGAAGUUAAAGAAAAACCUGAAGAACCAACAGUUGAGGAGAAACCAGAAGAACCAACAGCUGAAGAGAAACCUGAAGAACCAGCAACUAAAGAAAAACAAGUGCAGAUAGGGGAGGAAACAGCUGAAGAACUACCGCUUGAAGAGAAACCUGAAGAACUAACGAUUGAACAGACAGAUGAAAAACUAGUUGUUGAAAAUAAAACUGAAAAACCAGCAAAUAAAGAGGAGAAACCUGAAACGGUAACUCUCCUUAAGCAGUGUCACAGAGUUUAUCCAUCCUAUUAGUUCUAUAUGUGUAACGAAUUCAUAUCUGUUUAUCUAUUGAAAUACUAAGUGAAAAUUUAAAUUUUCUUGCAGAAUUUGCCUAUUGCAGACUCAAAGGACAAGACUGACAUUGCAAUUCCAUGCGAUACCAGCAAUGAUAUUGCUGACUAUGCAACAGUUGAGGAAAAACCUGAAGAACCAGUAGUUGAAGAAAAACAUGAAGAACCUGCAAUUGAAAAGAAAUUUGAAGAACCAGCAGUUAUGGAGAAACCUGAAGAACCAGCGGCAAAGGUAAAACCUGAAGAACCAGCAGGGAAAGAAAAACCUGAAGAGCCAACGGCUGGGGAAAAACCUGAAGAACCAGCAGCAAAUGAGGAACCUGAAAAAUCAGCGAUGAAAGAGAAACCUGAAGAACCAAUUGUUGAGGAGAAACUUGAAGAACCAACUGUUGAAGAGAAACCUGAAAAACCACUGAUUGAAGAAACACCUGAAGAACCAACAUGGGAAGAAACACCUAAAGAACUAGCAUUUGAAGAGAAACCAGAAGAACCAGCAGUUGAAGAGGAGAAACCUGAAAAGGUAACUCUUAUGGAAGAGGUGAGUAUCAAGCAUUAUCACAUAGUUUAUCCAUCUAUGUGCAACAAUUCACAUAUGCUUAUCUAUUGAAAGACUAAAUGAAACUUUAAAUUCUUCUUGCAGAAUAUGCCAGCUGUAGAUUUCAACGACAAGACUGACCGUGAAAUUCAAUGCAAUAACAAUGAUGUUGCUGAAUAUGUAGCAGUUGAGGAAAACCUUGAACCAGCAGUUGAAGAAAAACAUGAAGAACCAACAGUUGAGGAGAAACCUGAAGAACUAGCAGUUGAAGAGAAACCCGAAAAACCAACAAUUGAGGAGAAACCUGAAGAACUAGCAGUUGAAGAGAAACCCGAAAAACCAACAAUUGAGGAGAAACAUGAAGAACCAAUAGUUGAGAAGAAACCUGAAGAAUCAAUAAUUGAAAAGGAGAAAUCUGAAAGGGUAACUUUCCUAGAAAAGGUGAGGAUCAAGCAUUGUCAAAAGGUUUAUCCAUCUUAUUACUAUUAGUUGUGUAUGUGCAACAAUUCACAUCUGCUUACCUAUUGAAAGACCAAGUGAAACUUCAAAAUUCUUCUUGCAGAGUAUGCUAGUUGUAGACUCGAACGACAAGACUGACAGUGAACUUCCAUGCAAUACCAACAACGAUGCUGCCCACUUUCCAGAAGUUGAGGGAAACCCCGAAGAACCAGCAAUUGAAGGAAAAUCUAAAGAACUUGUUGAUGAAGAGACACCUGAUGUACCAGUGGUUGAGAAACCUGAAAAACAAAUGGUUGAGGAGAAACUUGAAGAACCAAUGAUUGAGGAGAAAUCUGACGAACUAGUCGAGGAGAAAUCUCAACAACCAGCGGCUGAAAAGAAACCUGAAGAACCAGCAGCUAAAGAAUCACCUAAAGAGGUAGCAGGGGAGGAAACAUCUGAAGAACUAGCACUUGAAGAGAAACUUAAAGAACCAACAGUUGAAGAGAUACCUAAAGAACUAGUUCUUGAAGAUAAACCUGGAAACCCAGAAAAUGAAGAGGAUAAACUUGAAACAGUAACUCUCCAGGAAAAGGUAAGAAACAAGCAGUGUCACAGAGUUUAUCCAUCCUAUUAGCUCUAUAUAUGCAACGAAUUCACAUCUGUUUAUCCACUGAAAGACCAAGUGAAACUUUAAAUUUUCUUGCAGAAUUUACCAAUUGCAGACUCAAAGGACAAGACUGACAAUGCAACUCCCUACAACAACAAUGAUAUUGCUGACUAUGUAGCAGUUAAGGAAAAAACUGAAGAACCAGUAGUUGAGGAAAAACAUGAAGAACCGGCAAUUGAAGAGAAAUCUGAAGAAUCAGCAUUAAUGAAAAAAACUGAAGAACCAGCGGUUGAGGUAAAACCUGAAGAACCGUCAGUGGAAAAGAAGCCUGAAGAACCAGCGGUUAGGAAAAAACCUGAAGAACCAGCAGUUAAUGAGGAACCUGAAAAAUCAGCAACGGAAGAGAAACCUGAAGAACCAAUUGUUGAGGAGAAACUUGAAGAACCAACUCUUGAAGAGAAACCUGGAAAAUCAGUAAUUGAAGAAACACCUGAAGAACCAACACUGGAAGUAACACCUAAAGAACAAGCGUUUAAAGAGAAACCAGAAGAACCAGCAGUUGAAGAGGAAAAAUCUGACAAGGUAACUCUUUUGGAAAAGGUGAGCAUCAAACAUUGUCACAAAUUUUAGCCAUCCUACUAGUUCUGUAUGUGCAAUAAUUCGUAUCAACUUAUCUAUUGAAAGACUA